UAAGCACUUAUUUGAUUGCCUUGAUAAUAUCAAUGACAUUGUGGUUAAUUGCCAGACAUUGAAACUAAAGUUGACACUAACUUCUCAAUUAGUGUAGAAGUGCAAUAGUCAUUAUUUCAUUUUAGUCAUCUGGGUUGCGUAACAUACCACUUAGCCUACUUACAAAAAGGCUGAUUUUAUUAUCAUUCUGAUGACAACGUAUGUGUUUUUGUAGACUCAGACAAGGAUACUGGUGAUGAAGGCCCUUCAUCUUCACUUGCACAUCAGGGUGUGUCAAGUCAGCCACUCUCUGACAAUGACACUGACACUGAGAACCAUCCAGCAGUACCUGCAGGCCAUGCAGUGACACGUGGGGAUGGUGAUGCAGCAGCCCUUGUGUCCCCACCUGGACCUCAUGAUAUUUCACAGUCAAGAGCAGCAGGUCCCUCUCAGCCUCGUUUAAAGGUUUUCCAAGAACCCUCCAAGGUGAGAAGAGG